AAUAAUUUUGUCUUUUGGAUAACUCUUUGCUUUAUUUCUUUGAAGAAUAUUAAUGUUAGAUCAUCUCUACAUGACUGUUAAUUGUUGCCAUUACCAGAUAUGUGGGUUUCCUUUUUCACUUCUAAUGUAUUUUGAUGUUUUUUAAAUUGGUAUGGGCAGAGGGAGAAAAUACAGUUUUCAGUGGAUAAACUUUUUCUUUCACGAAGACAACUCAUAGGUGGAUGAUAAAGAGAAAAGAGUUAGGCUUCAGAUUCACACAAGACUGAGUUUAAAUUUCUAGCUUUCCCAUUUGCUAGGUGUGUGACCUUGGGAACAUUACUCAUCACCAAAUAUGUUUUUCUGUAUUAAAAGGAGGAUACUAAUAUAUCCUUCCAGGGUGGUUGUGUAUGUAAGAAAGAUUGUGUGUGUAGCAUUUAAUUCAGUGCCUAGCACAUGCUUAUCAGUAUCAGUAACUGAAACCACUAUGACUACUAGUAUUACCAUUGUUAUUGAUAUUAUUGUUUUUCAGCCUGCAGAUAGCUCUCACUUAUCUGACCCCUGGCUGAUUUCGAAUUACAGCAUAUCAGUCUAGGGAAGCAGUGGUGAAAUCUUCACUUAAAUCUUUGCAUACUUUAGAUAAGUGACCUCAGCAUAGUUUCUUGCUCAUCAGGGGACUGAAAAUUAGUAACUUCUACUAUGACGUACCCCACCGGGACAAGAGGCUUCCUCUUUGUCCCUUCCUUUUAGCCUUGGUGGUAAUUUACAAAGAUGAACACUUGAGCACCCAAGGUGCUGGUGUCUGUUAGUACAAGUAAAUGCUUAAUUCUACAUGGACAGGCAAGCUAUUAAGUUGGUAAAGUAUACUGAAUAAGCUUUUUAAAUAGCUUUAUUACAGUUCCUAAGGGAGAAGUUAUCGCUCUGUCAUUUUAGAACAGCCCUCAUUCUCGCCGUACUGUGUGGAUCAGCAAACAUAGUUAGCCGCCUUCUGCAGCAAAAUAUUGACAUCUCUUCUCAAGAUAUGUUUGGGAGGACUGCGGAAGAUUAUGCAAUUUUUAAUCAGUUUACUGGCAUUCAGCAACUAAUUUCUGAAUAUAAGGAAAAACAGACACCCAAAAGUCUUCCUCAAAAUAACAAUCCAGAACAAGAAAAGAUGAACAUUGGAGUUGUACUUCUGUCAGGGAAUAAUACUGUCCAUGACAUGUGCCAGUCACAGCUGCCAGAAAACAAAGAGAGCAAAGAAGGUAACAAAGAAUCUAGAAUACAUACACACGACGCCGUCAUGUAUAUUUAAGUUUAAAAUGGUUAGACAUAAAUUCUAUUUAUAAAAAAUUUAUAUCCGUGAAGAA